rnacentral:rRNA from 1 species
UACGUAGGGUGCGAGCGUUAAUCGGAAUUACUGGGCGUAAAGAGUGCGUAGGCGGUUCUUGAAGUCCGCUGUGAAAGCCCCGGGCUUAACCUGGGAAUGGCAGUGGAAACUGGAGGACUUGAAUUGAGCAGAGGGGGGUGGAAUGCCGCGUGUAGCAGUGAAGAUGCGUAGAUAUCUGGAGGAACACCGGUGGCGAAGGCGGCAUCCUGGACCAACACUGACACUGAGGAGCGAAAGCCAGGGGAGCAAACGGG